rnacentral:rRNA from 1 species
CCAGACUCCUACGGGAGGCAGCAGUGGGGAAUAUUGGACAAUGGGGGGAACCCUGAUCCAGCGACGCCGCGUGAGUGAAGAAGUAAUUCGUUAUGUAAAGCUCUAUCAGCAGGGAAGAAAAUGACGGUACCUGAGUAAGAAGCCCCGGCUAACUACGUGCCAGCAGCCGCGGUAAUACGUAGGGGGCAAGCGUUAUCCGGAUUUACUGGGCGUAAAGGGAGCGUAGACGGCGAUGCAAGUCUGAAGUGAAAGGCGGGGGCCUAACCCCCGGACUGCUUUGGAAACUGUAUGGCUGGAGUGCAGGAGAGGUAAGUGGAAUUCCUAGUGUAGCGGUGAAAUGCGUAGAUAUUAGGAGGAACACCAGUGGCGAAGGCGGCUUACUGGACUGUAACUGACGUUGAGGCUCGAAGGCGUGGGGAGCAAACAGGAUUAGAUACCCCCGUAG